AGUUGUUGUGAUUGAUAUUUUCAAUUUCCUUUUCUUUCUUUUCAACCUCCUAAUUAAUUAAUUUGCUUAUAAAUAUUUAAAUACUAAUUUCUUGAUCGAGAGAAAUCAAAAGUAUAUAUUUCUCACCAGUUCUUCUUCUUCUAAACCCUAAAACCAAAACUAAGUCAAUCUCCUUUGUUCAUUCUAUGAUUCAUCUUCCAUGAAAAAGUUUCUACCUUUAGCUUUCCUCUCGAUCGAUUUGUUGUUGUGACUUGUGAGACACGGUUUCUAUGAUCUAGGGUGAGAUAUGAAGCAGAGCGAUCAAACGGUGCUGAGGCUUGAGAACUUGUGGCGGUCGAGGGUUUUUGGUUCUUCUUCUUCUUAGUCGUCUCUCUCUCUCUUUUGGUUCUUCUUCAUGGUGGUGCUCUUGCCUCUUGCUUCCUCUUUCCCUUUCAAGGUACACUGCUAUGUUUCUUUUGAAUUCAUCGUAGCUGAAAAAGCUUGUACCUUUAUAGCUUUCCUCUCAUCGAUUUGUAGUUGUGACGUGUGUGAUACGGUCCGAUGAUCUAGGGUUAGAUAUGAAGCAGAGCGAUCAAACGUGGCAGUCGAAGCUUUUGGUUCCUCUUGGGAUCUUACUACCUCUCCUUCGUCUUCAUGGUGGUGCUCUUGCUUCCACUUUCUCCUUCAAGGUACACUGCUCUGUUUCUUUGGAUCUCUCUCUCUUCUUGUUCCUCUCUGACUUUGGAAUUUAUAUCUGUCUCGAUAUGGUCUUGUUGAUGUUGAUCUCUUGUGUCUUAGGUUUACUAUAUCAAUCAUCUUAAAAGAUUUGGUAUCCAUCUCCUUUUGGAACUACAAGAUUUGGUAUACUGCUUAACUGGUUUGAUUUGCGUUGUUUUAUUAAACUUAUUACUGAAUCUCAUGUUGGAUUGUGGUUGCUUCCCGACCACAUUGAAUCACUUGUCUGCAACAACUUACAGAACUCAAUCUCAUAGUCGUUAUAGCCUUAUAGGUGUCUAUGCCAUAUACGAUUGAUGCAAGCUUGUCUACUUUUUAAUUCAUCCAUCAUGAUUCACCAUAUUGUUAUUAAUCAUCUCUUUUGUUUUGUAAUGAGUGUUCAUGAUUCUCUGUUUCCUUUGUAUCUCCCUUUUUUAUAUGAUUUUGUGUAAUCCGUAUGCAGUGUUAGAAUUCCUUUUUUGCUAAUAACUACUACAAAUCCAUUGAUAUGCAGACAAGGUUUCUGACCCUUGAUAUGACUUAUGUUUGUUCUUGGUUUGAUAUUAUGUUAUACUUCUCUGUUGUUGUUUUUCUCUUGGUUUUUGAUUUUGGUUCUACUGUCUUUGCAGGUCAUUGUGAUGUUCUCUAUUAUUAUGAAGAUUUGAUCAAGAGGACUUCCUCACAGUUAUCAAAAAGAAGAAGGAUCAUGUAGCAUCAGACCAUAACUACAUUUAUAACUGAGGUAUAUGCUGCUUUACUCAUUCGAUUUGUGAGUUUCAUUGCAUUGGUUUAUUAGAUUACUAUACCGAGUUUAUGUUGCUUUCUGACCACGUAGAAUUACGUGUCUGCAACAUACAGAAAUGAAUCUCAUAGUCAUGUAUGCAUAUACGUUUGGAAUGAUGCAAUGCAAGCCAUUUUUCUCUACUUUUUAGUUCAUCAAUCAUGUUGACCUUAUGAUUCCUAUCUCUGUCUCCUUUGUAUGUUUAUAUGAUUUUGUGUAUUCAUUGUUAGAUAAUCAAGAUUUUUCAUGGGUUAUGUCUUUUUGUUGAUUAAUGCUCAUUUUGUCUUCUCUGUUCUGCAAUUGAAGUUGUUGAUGUGUUAGUGGGCCUCGUGAAACUACUGUUAUUGGGCUCUAGUUUUUGAGGUCUAACCUUGUUUGUGUAAUGAUUUUGUUUCAUGAGCGUGACUGCAGUUUUUGAGUUCUGUAGCUCUCAAGUAGCUAGUAAAAUGUGUCUUUGUGUACGUUAGUGUGUGUGUGUGUCUGUGUUUGAUGUGUCUUUUGAUGUUUCUGUUGAUUUCAAAUGUUCUCUGCACUCUGCAAUUUCGAUGGUGAAAUUGAACACUUUUGUUUCAUGGUGAAGACUCAUCAAGGUUCGAUGGUACUUAGAUUUCACAGGUAUAUUUUAACUUUUCUAACUUUUAAAAAUUAAAAACGAUUGAUCUAACUUUUAAAAAUUAAAAUUCAACUAAGGCUAAUUGAUUUUGAUAUAAAAUAAAAUAUACAUUAAAAAAAUAUUUUAUGUUUUUAAUUUCUAUUUUUCAAUAAAUCAAAAUAUUCUUUUUGGGUUAAAUCUACGUGUUAAACUUAUAUACGUUGAAAACAAACCGGGCCGAGCAUCCAGUCCUUUUGUGGGUCCGUCAGUGGUGUAUAAGUUCAACAUGUUUUCACGUACUGUAAAUUUAACGCUUAGGUUUUAAAAUUUUUUAUAAUGGAUUAUUUUAAGUAAAGUUGUGAUUUUUAACAAAAAUGUUUUUAUUUUUAAAAUUUUUAGCUUGAAAUUAAAACAAGCUCGACAUAGCACCC
rnacentral:lncRNA from 1 species